AACGAACGCUGGCGGCAUGCCUAACACAUGCAAGUCGAACGAGACCUUCGGGUCUAGUGGCGCACGGGUGCGUAACGCGUGGGAACCUGCCCUUAGGUUCGGAAUAACUCUCCGAAAGGGGUGCCAAUACCGGAUAAUGUCUUCGGACCAAGGAUUUAUCGCCUUUGGAUGGGCCCGCGUUGGAUUAGCUAGUUGUUAGGGUAAAAGCCUACCAAGGCGACGAUCCAUAGCUGGUCUGAGAGGAUGGUCAGCCACACUGGGACUGAGACACGGCCCAGACUCCUACGGGAGGCAGCAGUGGGGAAUAUUGGACAAUGGGCGAAAGCCUGAUCCAGCAAUGCCGCGUGAGUGAUGAAGGCCUUAGGGUUGUAAAGCUCUUUUACCCGGGAUGAUAAUGACAGUACCGGGAGAAUAAGCUCCGGCUAACUCCGUG
rnacentral:rRNA from 1 species